rnacentral:rRNA from 1 species
GUCGNNCGGCAGCACGGGAGCUUGCUCCUGGUGGCGAGUGGCGAACGGGUGAGUAAUAUAUCGGAACGUACCCUAGAGUGGGGGAUAACGCAGCGAAAGUUGCGCUAAUACCGCAUACGAUCUACGGAUGAAAGUGGGGGAUCGCAAGACCUCAUGCUCAUGGAGCGGCCGAUAUCUGAUUAGCUAGUUGGUAGGGUAAAAGCCUACCAAGGCUUCGAUCAGUAGCUGGUCUGAGAGGACGACCAGCCACACUGGAACUGAGACACGGUCCAGACUCCUACGGGAGGCAGCAGUGGGGAAUUUUGGACAAUGGGCGCAAGCCUGAUCCAGCAAUGCCGCGUGAGUGAAGAAGGCCUUCGGGUUGUAAAGCUCUUUUGUCAGGGAAGAAACGGUGGACUCUAAUACAGAUCACUAAUGACGGUACCUGAAGAAUAAGCACCGGCUAACUACGUGCCAGCAGCCGCGGUAAUACGUAGGGUGCAAGCGUUAAUCGGAAUUACUGGGCGUAAAGCGUGCGCAGGCGGUUUGGUAAGACAGAUGUGAAAUCCCUGGGCUCAACCUAGGAAUUGCAUUUGUGACUGCCCGACUAGAGUGUGUCAGAGGGGGGUAGAAUUCCACGUGUAGCAGUGAAAUGCGUAGAGAUGUGGAGGAAUACCGAUGGCGAAGGCAGCCCCCUGGGAUAACACUGACGCUCAUGCACGAAAGCGUGGGGAGCAAACAGGAUUAGAUACCCUGGUAGUCCACGCCCUAAACGAUGUCUACUAGUUGUUGGGUCUUAAUUGACUUAGUAACGCAGCUAACGCGUGAAGUAGACCGCCUGGGGAGUACGGUCGCAAGAUUAAAACUCAAAGGAAUUGACGGGGACCCGCACAAGCGGUGGAUGAUGUGGAUUAAUUCGAUGCAACGCGAAAAACCUUACCUACCCUUGACAUGUACGGAAUCCUUGAGAGAUCAGGGAGUGCUCGAAAGAGAGCCGUAACACAGGUGCUGCAUGGCUGUCGUCAGCUCGUGUCKUGAGAUGUUGGGUUAAGUCCCGCAACGAGCGCAACCCUUGUCAUUAGUUGCUACGAAAGGGCACUCUAAUGAGACUGCCGGUGACAAACCGGAAGAAGGUGGGGAUGACGUCAAGUCCUCAUGGCCCUUAUGGGUAGGGCUUCACACGUC